rnacentral:rRNA from 1 species
UGCUUUACACAUGCAAGUCGAGCGGCAGCGCGGGGGCAACCCUGGCGGCGAGCGGCGAACGGGUGAGUAACACAUCGGAACGUACCCAGUAAUGGGGGAUAACUAACCGAAAGGUUAGCUAAUACCGCAUACGCCCUACGGGGGAAAGCGGGGGAUCGCAAGACCUCGCGUUAUUGGAGCGGCCGAUGUCGGAUUAGCUAGUUGGUGAGGUAAAGGCUCACCAAGGCGACGAUCCGUAGCGGGUCUGAGAGGACGGCCCGCCACACUGGAACUGAGACACGGUCCAGACUCCUACGGGAGGCAGCAGUGGGGAAUUUUGGACAAUGGGCGCAAGCCUGAUCCAGCCAUUCCGCGUGAGUGAAGAAGGCCUUCGGGUUGUAAAGCUC